AUGGCCUGGACUCCUCUGCUCCUCGUGCUCCUCUCUCACUGCACAGGGUCCCUCUCCCAGCAGCCUGUGCUGACUCAGCCGCCCUCCCUCUCUGCAUCUCCGGGAGCCACAGCCAGACUCACCUGCACCUUGAGCAGUGGCUCCAGUGUUGGCAGCUACUGGAUAUCCUGGUACCAGCAGAAGCCAGGGAGCCGUCCCCGGUACCUCCUGGCCUACUACUCAGACUCAGAUAAGCUCCAGGGCUCCGGGGUCCCCAGCCGCUUUUCUGGAUCCAAAGAUGCCUCAGCCAAUGCGGGGCUCCUGACCAUCUCGGGGCUGCAGCCUGAGGAUGAGGCUGACUAUUACUGUAACACAUAUGAAGGCAACUCUGACACUUACACAGUGGUCCAGACCCACAGGGAAGUGAGACAAAAACCUCCUCUCCGCUCUCCCUGCCUGACCUUGGCCCCUGCUGGUGGUGUCUAA